rnacentral:rRNA from 1 species
GCAUAUCAAUAAGCGGAGGAAAAGGAAACCAACAGGGAUUACCUCAGUAACGGCGAGUGAAGCGGUAACAGCUCAAAUUUGAAAGCUAGCUCGUUUAGGGUUCGCAUUGUAAUUUGUAGAAGAUGCUUCGGGUGUGGCCCCGGUCUAAGUUCCUUGGAACAGGACGUCAUAGAGGGUGAGAAUCCCGUAUGUGACUGGGUGCUUUCGCUCAUGUGAAGCUCUUUCGACGAGUCGAGUUGUUUGGGAAUGCAGCUCAAAAUGGGUGGUAAAUUUCAUCUAAAGCUAAAUAUUGGCCAGAGACCGAUAGCGCACAAGUAGAGUGAUCGAAAGAUGAAAAGCACUUUGGAAAGAGAGUUAAACAGUACGUGAAAUUGUUGAAAGGGAAGCGCUUGCAACCAGACUUGCGCGCUGAUGAUCAUCCGGGCUUCUGCCCGGUGCACUCGUCUGCGCUCAGGCCAGCAUCGGUUUCGGUGGUGGGAUAAAGGCCUUGGGAAUGUAGCUCCUCUCGGGGAGUGUUAUAGCCCUCGGUGCAAUGCCGCCUACCGGGACCGAGGACCGCGCUUCGGCUAGGAUGCUGGCGUAAUGGUUGUAAGCGACCCGUCUUGAAACACGGACCAAGGAGUCUAACAUCUAUGCGAGUGUUUGGGUGUCAAACCCAUACGCGUAAUGAAAGUGAACGGAGGUGAGAACCCUUAAGGGUGCAUCAUCGACCGAUCCUGAUGUCUUCGGAUGGAUUUGAGUAAGAGCAUAGCUGUUGGGACCCGAAAGAUGGUGAACUAUGCGUGAAUAGGGUGAAGCCAGAGGAAACUCUGGUGGAGGCUCGCAGCGGUUCUGACGUGCAAAUCGAUCGUCAAAUUUGCGUAUAGGGGCGAAAGACUAAUCGAACCAUCUAGUAGCUGGUUCCUGCCGA